CCCCUAGUAGCUUAGAUGGUAAAGCAUCUGCCUGCAAUACAGGAGACCCGAGUUCGAUCCCUGGGUUGGGAA
rnacentral:tRNA from 1 species